AUUUUAUAUAUGCAUUCAUGUCAGUUUUCCUGUUUUCUUCUUACCCUCCCGUUUUUGGCAGGCAUGCAGAUCCAUUUCGCAGGGAUUCUUGUAGGUACAGCGAAUUUCCCUACCAUUCCUCACAGUUUUCCCGCAAAGAUAGCGGCACAAACCCAGCCGGAAUGUCCUGAAAUAUGUCCUGCAAUUUACAGUCCUGUGUGUGUAGAAGCCUUGAUAAAUGGGAAAUUGGUUCGAUGUUUAUUUGGCAAUAGCUGCCAGCUAGGUGUCAGCAGCUGUCGUCAUGGAAUAA